GCUCAGUUAUCAGUUAGUAGAACAGAGGACUGAAAAUCCUCGUAUUACCGGUUCAAAUCUGCUAUUGACA
rnacentral:tRNA from 1 species